CUCUCCAUCUGUGGGGUAUUGUGUUUCUCAACUCUCCAUCUGUGGGGUAUUGUGUUUCUCAACUCUCCAUCUGUGGGGUAGUGUGUUUCUCAACUCUCCAUCUGUGGGGUAUGUGUUUCUCAACUCUCCAUCUGUGGGGUAGUGUGUUUCUCAACUCUCCAUCUGUGGGGUAUUGUGUUUCUCAACUCUCCAUCUGUGGGGUAGUGUGUUUCUCAACUCUCCAUCUGUGGGGUAGUGUGUUUCUCAACUCUCCAUCUGUGGGGUAUUGUGUUUCUCAACUCUCCAUCUGUGGGGUAAUGUGUUUCUCAACUCUCCAUCUGUGGGGUAUUGUGUUUCUCAACUCUCCAUCUGUGGGGUAUUGUGUUUCUCAACUCUCCAUCUGUGGGGUAUUGUGUUUC